rnacentral:rRNA from 1 species
AUUAGCUAGUUGGUGAGAUAAGAGCCCACCAAGGCGACGAUCAGUAGCCGAUCUGAGAGGAUGACCGGCCACACUGGAACUGAGACACGGUCCAGACUCCUACGGGAGGCAGCAGUGGGGAAUAUUGCACAAUGGGGGGAACCCUGAUGCAGCAACGCCGCGUGGAGGAAGAAGGUUUUCGGAUUGUAAACUCCUGUCUUUUGGGAAGAUAACGACGGUACCAAAAGAGGAAGCCACGGCUAACUACGUGCCAGCAGCCGCGGUAAUACGUAGGUGGCGAGCGUUGUCCGGAAUUACUGGGCGUAAAGGGCGCGUAGGCGGUCCUUCAAGUCAGGUGUGAAACCCCAAGGCUUAACCUUGGGCUUGCACAUGAAACUGAAGGGCUCGAGUGUCGGAGAGGAAAGCGGAAUUCCUAGUGUAGCGGUGAAAUGCGUAGAUAUUAGGAGGAACACCAGUGGCGAAGGCGGCUUUCUGGACGAUAACUGACGCUGAGGCGCGAAAGCGUGGGGAGCAAACAGGAUUAGAUACCCUGGUAGUCCACGCUGUAAACGAUGGAUACUAGGUGUGGGAGGUAUCGAACCCUUCCGUGCCGCAGUAAACGCAUUAA